rnacentral:rRNA from 1 species
CCUUGCACACACGCCCGUCGCUUCAUCGAAGUUGGUUUUAGGCGAGGUGGUGCGAUUUGGCAUUAUCGAACCUGAGAUCGAGCAACGAGGAG